ACAUUUUAUUAAAAAAAUUAAGCCAUACUAAAGGCUCUCUCUCACUUCUUACCAAGAAAGACAAUUCUCAUUUUCUCUUUUCUCAAAGAGACACAAAAGAUUCCUUUAAAUAGAAUAUCAUAUCGAUGAGAUGUUUAAAUAGAGUAACUACUCAAAUUCAAAAACCAACACCCACCAAAAAAUGAGACUUGAUUACUACUAGGGAAUAAGAAUAACUAUUCUAAAAGGAAUAACUAAGCAGAAUAAAACUAGAAAUAGAAUCCUAAAAUUGUUAAAAUUAGUGACCAACUAAACAGAAAUCAUAAUAGAAUUAGGACUUGGCCUUAAAUCUCAAUAGAAUAUGGACUAUCAGUUGAAGGUAUAAAUAAAAAAUAACAGCUAUUAUAUAUUAUAGCAGUAUGUUAUAAUAACAAACAAAUUCACAUUUUAUUCAGCAUUUUAUUUUUUUCACAUUAUUAUUUUAAUAUUAAAUUGAAGGAUGGUCGAAAUUGUUGCAAUGACCGAUAUAAUGCUAUCAAUGAGAUGGGACUCUGGGCAAAAAUGAUGAUAUUUAUCGCCGCUCGCCAGCCCUGGCCAAAACCUAACCCUGAACCGAAGAGCCCCAAUCGCAUUCUCUCUCUCCCUCUCUAUCUCUCUCGUCCACAACGAAGCACCGACAAAAGAGGCCGCCUCUCUGCAAGAAAGGGUUUCUCUUCUCAACUCUUUUCCCCUCGAAUUCUUGGCUAUCGGACUUUCCAAGACGCUACACUGAGAAGGUCACUUUAAGUGCGUUCUUGCUGUUUCUUGUUUGUUAGAAUUUGUUGUACUUGUUGCGAGUUAUCUGCUUCUGAAACCUGGAUUUCUUGUAAUGCAAAAACAAGAGAGUGUCUUUCUUCUAUGAUUGUGUUCUUUGAAUCUAAGAAAAAGAGAACAUAACCCUAAAGGAUUAUUGGGGUAAUAUAUUGAAAUUUGAUAUGAUCUUCUGAAGAGGGUCGGACGGGUGUCAAUAUUUUUUGUUUCUUUCUCAAAUUUUAGGGAUAAAUGCUAUAUGAAUUUCACAUGGAGGGUCCUCGCUCUGCUUUAAUUGUUAUAGCUAUCACAAGGUAAUGCCGCCGAGGGUAGAGAGCUUUGCUGCUAUGUGUGCUUUAAGGUCUUUGUUCAUGGUAGCUAUCGAUGGUGGAAUUGUAAUUGAACUGCAAGUAUGUUAUAAGAAAUAUUUGCUAUAAGAUGUUCCUAGUAUGUUUCCUUUCUUCA